UACAGAGGUCUCGAGCGUUAGGCGGAAUCACUGGGCUUAAAGCGUGUGUAGGCGGAUCGUUAAGUACCUUGUGAAAUCCCACGGCUUAACCGUGGAACUGCUGGGUAUACUGGCGAUCUUGAGCAACCUAGGGGCGAGCGGAACAAAUGGUGGAGCGGUGAAAUGCGUAGAUAUCAUUUGGAACGCCAAUGGUGAAAACAGCUCGCUGGGGGUUCGCUGACGCUGAGACACGAAAGCCAGGGGAGCAAACGGG
rnacentral:rRNA from 1 species